rnacentral:rRNA from 1 species
GACGAACGCUGGCGGCGUGCUUAACACAUGCAAGUCGAACGGUGACGACUGGAGCUUGCUCCGGUCUGAUCAGUGGCGAACGGGAGAGUAACACGUGAGUAACCUGCCCCAGACUCUGGAAUAACCCCGGGAAACCGGAGCUAAUACCGGAUACGAGACGGAGAGGCAUCUCCACCGUCUGGAAAGUUUUUCGGUCUGGGAUGGACUCGCGGCCUAUCAGCUUGUUGGGGAGGUAACGGCUCACCAAGGCGACGACGGGUAGCCGGCCUGAGAGGGCGACCGGCCACACUGGGACUGAGACACGGCCCAGACUCCUACGGGAGGCAGCAGUGGGGAAUAUUGCACAAUGGGCGAAAGCCUGAUGCAGCGACGCCGCGUGAGGGAUGACGGCCUUCGGGUUGUAAACCUCUUUCAGCAGGGAAGAAGCGAAAGUGACGGUACCUGCAGAAGAAGCACCGGCUAACUACGUGCCAGCCGCCGCGGUAACAC